CCUACGGGAGGCAGCAGUGAGGGAUAUUGCGCAAUGGGCGAAAGCCUGAUGCAGCAACGCCGCGUGUGCGAUGAAGGCCUUCGGGUCGUAAAGCACUUUUCUGGGAGAUGAGAAAGGACAGUAUCCCAGGAAUAAGCCUCGGCUAACUACGUGCCAGCAGCCGCGGUAACACGUAGGAGGCAAGCGUUAUUCGGAUUUACUGGGCGUAAAGCGCGUGCAGGCGGUUUGGUAAGUUGGAUGUAAAAGCUCCUGGCUUAACUGGGAGAGGUCGUCCAAUACUACCAGACUAGAGGACGGUAGAGGAAGGUGAAAUUCCCGGUGUAGUGGUGAAAUGCGUAGAUAUCGGGAGGAACACCAGUGGCGAAGGCGGCCUUCUGGGCCAUUCCUGACGCUCAGACGCGAAAGCUAGGGUAGCAAACGGGAUUAGAUCCC
rnacentral:rRNA from 1 species